GUGCCAGCCGCCGCGGUAAUACCGGCAGCACGAGUGAUGGCCGAUCUUAUUGGGCCUAAAGCGUCCGUAGCUGGCCAGACAAGUCCGUUGGGAAAUCGGCGUGCCUAACGCGUCGGCGUCCAGCGGAAACUGUUUGGCUUGGGACUGGAAGACCCGAGGGGUACGUCCGGGGUAGGAGUGAAAUCCUGUAAUCUUGGACGGACCGCCGGUGGCGAAAGCGCCUCGGGAAGACGGAUCCGACAGUGAGGGACGAAAGCUAGGGUCUCGAACCGGAUUAGAAACCCCAGUAGUCC
rnacentral:rRNA from 1 species